GGAUUGUGGCUCAGCGGCAGAGCGCUCGCCUAGCACGCGUGGGACCCGGGUUCGAUCCUCAGCACCA
rnacentral:tRNA from 1 species